rnacentral:rRNA from 1 species
UCCGUAGGUGAACCUGCGGAAGGAUCAUUACGGGAGUNCAGGUAUGUCCGGGGCAGGCCUAACCUCCCCACCCGUGAAUACCUGACCAACGUUGCUUCGGCGGUGCGCCCCCCCCGGGGGUAGCCGCCGGAGACCACACCGAACCUCCUGUCUUUAGUGUUGUCUGAGCUUGAUAGCAAACCUAUUAAAACUUUCAACAAUGGAUCUCUUGGUUCCGGCAUCGAUGAAGAACGCAGCGAACUGCGAUAAGUAAUGUGAAUUGCAGAAUUCAGUGAAUCAUCGAGUCUUUGAACGCACAUUGCGCCCCCUGGCAUUCCGGGGGGCAUGCCUGUCCGAGCGUCAUUGCUGCCCUUCAAGCCCGGCUUGUGUGUUGGGUCGUCGUCCCCCCCGGGGGACGGGCCCGAAAGGCAGCGGCGGCACCGCGUCCGGUCCUCGAGCGUAUGGGGCUUUGUCACCCGCUCGAUUAGGGCCGGCCGGGCGCCAGCCGGCGUCUCUAAGCUUGUGUUUUACCAGGUUGACCUCGGAUCAGAAGGGAUACCCGNUGAANUUAAGCAUAUCAAUAAGCGGAGGA